rnacentral:rRNA from 1 species
AAAACUCAAAAAAAUAAGUCUCAGUUCGGAUUGUAGUCUGCAACUCGACUACAUGAAGCUGGAAUCGCUAGUAAUCGCGAAUCAGAAUGUCGCGGUGAAUACGUUCCCGGGUCUUGUACACACCGCCCGUCACACCAUGGGAGUUGGGAAUGCCCGAAGCCGGUGACCUAACCGAAAGGGAGGAGCCGUCGAAGGCAGGCUUGAUAACUGGGGUGAAGUCGUAACAAGGUAGC